ACGCGCCCCAGGAACUCUGGGGGCCAAAGACCAGCGCAAGCCUCCCGCAGAGGGCUUUGUUUCCUGCUAAAUGUCUGGCUUCCUGGCAAAUCGAGGACCAGAUGCUGAUCCAAUCGUACCUCAACUACUGAUGUUAUUUCUUCCACACCAAAUUCAAGUUGCAUCAGCCAAGUUAGAGACGCCUUCCCAGGAAUCCACUAAUGAACGGAUUCGUCCUCAGUUUGACUGGCAUGUUGGUUGACCAAUAAUAUCUCAUGAU